rnacentral:rRNA from 1 species
ACGGAGGGUGCAAGCGUUAUCCGGAUUCACUGGGUUUAAAGGGUGCGUAGGCGGUCUAUUAAGUCAGUGGUGAAAUAUCGCAGCUAACUGUGAGGGUGCCAUUGAUACUGAUGGACUUGAGUGAAGUCGAAGUAGGCGGAAUUGACGGUGUAGCGGUGAAAUGCUUAGAUAUCGUCAAGAACACCGAUAGUGAAGACAGCUUACUAGGCUUCUACUGACGCUGAGGCACGAAAGUGUGGGGAUCAAACAGGA